UACGUAGGGUGCAAGCGUUAAUCGGAAUUACUGGGCGUAAAGCGUGCGCAGGCGGCUUUGCAAGACAGAUGUGAAAUCCCCCGGCUCAACUGGGGAACUGCAAGGGAUACAGCGGGGCUUGAGUUCGGGAGAGGGAAGCGGAAUUCCGGGUGUAGCGGUGAAAUGCGCAGAUAUCAGGAGGAACACCGGUGGCGAAGGCGGGUCUCUGGGCCGUAACUGACGCUGAGGAGCGAAAGCGUGGGGAGCGAACAGG
rnacentral:rRNA from 1 species